CGUUUAUUGCUCAUCCCUAACUACCCUUGAACAGAUGUCUUUGCGGAAUCAGCCACACAAACGAAGCAAUCCAACCAUCCCGGGAAUUGGUCUGUUACACCUUCACCUGUAACUUCUUCAAUGGCAAGUAUAUUCGUUCUUAGAUGCUGCCUGGCCUGCUGCGUUCCACCAGCAUUUUGUGUGGGUUGCUGGGAAAGUUACUGCUGACUCCACCCUCCCUAGCAGUCACCUAUUUGCCAAAUUGCCAUUAGGGAGAUGCUACAAGUCCAUCACUAUCGGGAGUACAUGUUAUCGUCUAAGCUUCUUUCCUGUAACUAUCCAUCUUCUCAAUAAAACUCACUCAGGUGUAAUAAAUGUCCCUACACAGCAUCCA